AGUCACUGACAUUAAGAUACCCCCGUAGUCCCAGCCGUAAACAAUGUGCGUUAGGUGUGUCGGUAACCACGUGUUACUGAUGCGCCGAAGAGAAAUCGUGAAACGCACCACCUGGGAAGUACGGUCGCAAGGCUGAAACUUAAAGGAAUUGGCGGGGAGCACAACAACGGGUGGAGCCUGCGGUUUAAUUGGAUUCAACGCCGGACAUCUCACCGGAUAAGACAGCUGAAUGAUUGUCAAUCUGAAGGUUUUACAUGACUAGCUG
rnacentral:rRNA from 1 species